rnacentral:rRNA from 1 species
AUUGAACGCUGGCGGCAGGCCUAACACAUGCAAGUCGAACGAGUGGCGGACGGGUGAGUAAUGUCUGGGAAACUGCCUGAUGGAGGGGGAUAACUACUGGAAACGGUAGCUAAUACCGCAUACCAUCAGAUGUGCCCAGAUGGGAUUAGCUAGUUGGUGGGGUAACGGCUGACCAAGGCGGCGAUCCCUAGCUGGUCUGAGAGGAUGACCAGCCAAACUGGAACUGCGACACGGGCAAGACUCCAACGUGAGACAGCGGUGGGAAAUAUUGCAAAAUGGGCGAAAGCCUAAUGCAGCCAGGCCGCGUGUAUGAGGAAGGCCUUGGGGUUGUAAAGUACUUUCAGCGGGGAGGCGUUACCCGCAGAAGAAGCACCGGCUAACUCCGUGCCAGCAGCCGCGGUAAUUC